rnacentral:rRNA from 1 species
AAUAGAUACCCGGGUAGUCCACGCCGUAAACGAUGAGUGCUAAGUGUUAGAGGGUUUCCGCCCCUUUAGUGCUGCAGCAAACGCAUUAAGCACUCCGCCUGGGGAGUACGGCCGCAAGGCUGAAAACUCAAAGGAAUUGACGGGGGGCCCGCACAAGCGGUGGAGCAUGUGGUUUAAUUCGAAGCAACGCGAAGAACCUUACCAGGUCUUGACAUCCUCUGACACUCCUAGAGAUAGGACGUUCCCCUUCGGGGGACAGAGUGACAGGUGGUGCAUGGUUGUCGUCAGCUCGUGUCGUGAGAUGUUGGGUUAAGUCCCGCAACGAGCGCAACCCUUGAUCUUAGUUGCCAGCAUUAAGUUGGGCACUCUAAGGUGACUGCCGGUGACAAACCGGAGGAAGGUGGGGAUGACGUCAAAUCAUCAUGCCCCUUAUGACCUGGGCUACACACGUGCUACAAUGGAUGGUACAAAGGGCAGCAAAACCGCGAGGUCGAGCAAAUCCCAUAAAACCAUUCUCAGUUCGGAUUGUAGGCUGCUAACC